rnacentral:miRNA from 1 species
UUUGGCAAUAGAUAGAAUUCACUG